rnacentral:lncRNA from 10 species
CGCCGUCCGAGGCCGGUCGUGGGGAUUUCGAGCACUGCGAACACGGCGCCGUCCGCGCCGCCCUCCGUCCUCGGUCACACACGGCCCUCCGUAAAGAGGAAGGAAGUACGGAGACAUGCUGUGAUGCAGAUGAACCUGGAGACCUAUGCUUGGUGGAAGAAGCCAGACAUGAAGGGUCACAGGCUGUGUGUUCCACUGGCAGGAGGCAUCUACGACAGCCAGAUUCACAAAAGAAGGUGGAACCGAGGUUACCAGGACCAGGGGGGUGGAGGAGGGUGGUGUGGCUGUUUAAUGGGCAUGGGGUUUUCUUGGAGGCAGUGAAGUGUUCUGAUGCAGGGGUGCUGACGGCUACGCAGCACUGGGAAUGUGCUAAAUGCCACACAUUGUACACUCGAAAAUGGUUACAGCACACCCGGUGCAGUGGCGUGCACCUGUAGUCGGAGCUGCUAGGGAGGCCCAGGAGUUUGAGUCCAGCAUGGGCAACGUAGUGAGAUCCCCCAUACCAAGAAAAGAAAAAAAAUAGGCCGAGCAUGGUGGCUCACGCCUGUAAUCCCAGCACUUUGGGAGGCCAAGGCGGGCGGAUCACAAGGUCAAGAGAUUGAGACCAUCCUGGCCAACAUGGUGAAACCCCAUCUCUAUUAAAAGCAUAAAAAUUAGCUGGGUAUGGUGGCAGGCGCCUGUAGUCCCAGC